AUGGGGUAUACUGGCCCUAACUUUACAUGGUCCAACCGACAGAAUGCUGAGAUGAAUACAAGGGUUAGACUGGACCGAGCAGUACCGAAUGGUGAUUUUCUUCAGAAGUUUGAUAAUUGCACUGUUGAGAACAUCAUCACUACUUCGUCUGACCACUUUGCGAUUUUGAUAAGAAUGGCGAAGAGUACCGAUCGAACAGUCAUAAAUCCAGUGCAACACUCUUUUAGAUUUGAAGCAGCAUGUAUGAGCACACCUGAUUAUGAUCAUAUGAUAGGUGAUAAUUGGAAAAAUCUCAAGAGUGACACUCCAUCCUUAUAUAACAUAUGGUUUGCUCUUAACAAGUUAUCUACCUCUAUUCAGAAAUGGAGCAAGGUUUCCUUCAGCUCGGUUAAGAAAGAAAUCAAAAUAUUGGAAAAGCAUCUUGCUACCAUAAGAAAGAAUAUUCCAGCCUCAAACAACUCAGAUGAAGAGAAGAAAAUUAAACUGCGGUUGUGUGAACUCUUUGAAAGAGAAGAAAUCAUGGCCCGACAAUGGUCAAGGGUGGAUUGGCUACGGGAAGGGGAUCGCAACACAUCUUUCUUCCAUGCACGGGCAUCGGCCAGAAGAAGAACAAAUAGAAUAAAAUUCUUGAAUAAAGCCGAUGGGUCAAUAUGUAAAGAUCAUGAAGGGAUCAAAAGUAUGGUCUAUGAAUUCUAUGCAAACUUAUUUAUUUCUUAACCUUCUGAUUCAUUAGAUGCAACCCUUGAAGCAAUCCCAAGAAAGGUUAAUGACAAAGUUAAUGAAGCUUUGUGCCGAGAAUAUACAAAUGAUGAAGUCAAGGCUGCUCUUUUCUAG
rnacentral:rRNA from 1 species